rnacentral:lncRNA from 1 species
CAAAUUACCACAUGAUGAAGACAGCCAUAUGGCAGGAAAUGGACUGAUGGCUUCAUUCCUAUAACCACAAAUAAUUGAAUCCUGACAGUAGCCAGAGAGCUCAGGAGAGGAUCCCAAAACUCAGAUAAGAUGGCAGCUCUGUUGAUUUCAGCCUUGUAGGAGCCUAAGCUGAAUACCUAGCCAUACUGUGCCUGGAAAUGGUGUGAGAUUGUAAAUGUAUGUUGUGUUAAGUCACAAAGACUGUGAUCAUUUGUUAUGAAGCUAUAGCUAACUAAUACCCUGCUCAUUUCUGAUGUGAAUGAGCAGGGAGUCCUUCCCUAGAAGGCUGUCCAUGGGUGNNNNNNNNNNACUUGAACCUGGGAGGUGGGUUGCAGUGAGCUGAGAUCGCACCUGGGCUACAAGAGCAAAACUACAUCUAAAAAAAAAAAAGAAACCUCCAAAUUACCACAUGAUGAAGACAGCCAUAUGGCAGGAAAUGGACUGAUGGCUUCAUUCCUAUAACCACAAAUAAUUGAAUCCUGACAGUAGCCAGAGAGCUCAGGAGAGGAUCCCAAAACUCAGAUAAGAUGGCAGCUCUGUUGAUUUCAGCCUUGUAGGAGCCUAAGCUGAAUACCUAGCCAUACUGUGCCUGGAAAUGGUGUGAGAUUGUAAAUGUAUGUUGUGUUAAGUCACAAAGACUGUGAUCAUUUGUUAUGAAGCUAUAGCUAACUAAUACCCUGCUCAUUUCUGAUGUGAAAUGAGCAGGGAGUCCUUCCCUAGAAGGCUGUCCAUGGGUGGAAAAAGCCUGGCCGUGAGUCAUAUGCUCCAGCUAUCAAAUGCCAAACACCUUUGUGUGGAGGAGAUACUUUGCUAGUAUCUANNNNNNN